rnacentral:rRNA from 10 species
CCUUCCGUAGGUGAACCUGCGGAAGGAUCAUUG